GAUGAACGCUGGCGGCGUGCCUAAUACAUGCAAGUCGAGCGAACAGACGAGGAGCUUGCUCCUCUGACGUUAGCGGCGGACGGGUGAGUAACACGUGGAUAACCUACCUAUAAGACUGGGAUAACUUCGGGAAACCGGAGCUAAUACCGGAUAAUAUAUUGAACCGCAUGGUUCAAUAGUGAAAGACGGUUUUGCUGUCACGUAUAGAUGGAUCCGCGCCGCAUUAGCUAGUUGGUAAGGUAACGGCUUACCAAGGCAACGAUGCGUAGCCGACCUGAGAGUGUGAUCGGCCACACUGGAACUGAGACACGGUCCAGACUCCUACGGGAGGCAGCAGUAGGGAAUCUUCCGCAAUGGGCGAAAGCCUGACGGAGCAACGCCGCGUGAGUGAUGAAGGUCUUCGGAUCGUAAAACUCUGUUAUUAGGGAAGAACAAAUGUGUAAGUAACUAUGCACGUCUUGACGGUACCUAAUCAGAAAGCCACGGCUAACUACGUG
rnacentral:rRNA from 1 species